UUCUUGCUUAAGAGAAUUCAUCUCUUGACGCAAGUCAGACAUCGAGGGCUCAGCAGGUUUAUCAAACCUAUUGAAAACUUGUUUCAUACUAAAAGGUUCUAUGGCCGUUGACGAAGAAGGUUUCUUUUGGUCAGAACCCAGGAUAAUUUUCUUGAGUUCAAUCAAAUACUUGGCACGAGAUUCAUCAUCCAUCAUGAAGGACUUGAGAAGUAAGGGAUUCCUUCUCGAUUUUGUCUAGACGAGAUUUUAACUGUCUAACUUCUUCAUUAAGAGAAUUUAUCUCUUGACGCAAGUCAGACAUCGAGGGCUCAGCAGGUUUAUCAAACCUAUUGAAAACUUGUUUCAUACUAAAAGGUUCUAUGGCCGUUGACGAAGAAGGUUUCUUUUGGUCAGAACCCAGGAUAAUUUUCUUGAGUUCAAUCAAAUACUUGGCACGAGAUUCAUCAUCCUUGAUGUGAUCAAUAAUAUCAAAAAGGACUUCCUUGGAGUCCGAUGUGAUCAU
rnacentral:lncRNA from 1 species